UUUGAUUUGGCAGACGAAAUGCGUUUGAUUUAGGGUCAAAUUAUAACUAUUAUGUUAAUCGGUA
rnacentral:tRNA from 1 species